rnacentral:tRNA from 1 species
GGGAUAUGGCUCAGCUGGUUAGAGCGCUUCGUUCACAUCGAAGAAGUCGGGGGUUCGAGUCCCUCUAUCCCC